UACGUAGGGGGCAAGCGUUGUCCGGAAUCAUUGGGCGUAAAGGGCUCGUAGGCGGUUUGUCGCGUCGGGAGUGAAAACCAGGUGCUUAACACCUGGCUUGCUUUCGAUACGGGCAGACUAGAGGUAUUCAGGGGAGAACGGAAUUCCUGGUGUAGCGGUGAAAUGCGCAGAUAUCAGGAGGAACACCGGUGGCGAAGGCGGUUCUCUGGGAAUGACCUGACGCUGAGGAGCGAAAGUGUGGGGAGCGAACAGG
rnacentral:rRNA from 1 species